AUUGAACGCUGGCGGCAGGCCUAACACAUGCAAGUCGAGCGGAUGAAGGGAGCUUGCUCCUGGAUUCAGCGGCGGACGGGUGAGUAAUGCCUAGGAAUCUGCCUGGUAGUGGGGGAUAACGUCCGGAAACGGGCGCUAAUACCGCAUACUUCCUGAGGGAGAAAGUGGGGGAUCUUCGGACCUCACGCUAUCAGAUGAGCCUAGGUCGGAUUAGCUAGUUGGUGGGGUAAAGGCCUACCAAGGCGACGAUCCGUAACUGGUCUGAGAGGAUGAUCAGUCACACUGGAACUGAGACACGGUCCAGACUCCUACGGGAGGCAGCAGUGGGGAAUAUUGGACAAUGGGCGAAAGCCUGAUCCAGCCAUGCCGCGUGUGUGAAGAAGGUCUUCGGAUUGUAAAGCACUUUAAGUUGGGAGGAAGGGCAGUAAGUUAAUACCUUGCUGUUUUGACGUUACCAACAGAAUAAGCACCGGCUAACUUCGUG
rnacentral:rRNA from 1 species